rnacentral:rRNA from 1 species
CCUACGGGAUGCAGCAGUGGGGAAUACUGGACAAUGGGCGAAAGCCUGAUCCAGCAAUGCCGCAUGUGUGAAGAAGGUCUUCGGAUUGUAAAGCACUUUCGACGGGGACGAUGAUGACGGUAUCCGUAGAAGAAGCCCCGGCUAACUUCGUGCCAGCAGCCGCGGUAAUACGAAGGGGGCUAGCGUUGCUCGGAAUGACUGGGCGUAAAGGGCGCGUAGGCGGUUUAUGCAGUCAGAUGUGAAAUCCCCGAGCUUAACCUGGGAACUGCAUUUGAGACGCAAAGACUAGAGGUCGAGAGAGGGUUGUGGAAUUCCCAGUGUAGAGGUGAAGUUCGUAGAUAUUGGGAAGAACACCGGUGGCGAAGGCGGCAACCUGGCUCGAUACUGACGCUGAGGCGCGAAAGCGUGGGGAGCAAACAGGAUUAGAUACCCUUGUAGUC